rnacentral:lncRNA from 1 species
AAUGCCUGUUUGGGGAAGAAAGCCUUUGCUGCCCAUCCUUAGGCCUCUCCUGUGAUAGGGGAAGAGGACAUAGAAACGCUGAGAGAGCCAGGGCCUCCGCUUCUCUGGAGUGGAAGGAAAGGAAGCACAGCAGAAGGAUUGGAAUCAAGACAGCCUGGCUCCAGAGCCUGUUUUCAUAACUACGAGAGAAUGCACCAGAUUCCUUCUGAACGCCGCCUGCCGCGUGCACGGCUACAACUCUAUUUCCAGCCAUGCUGUGGCAAGCAGUUCCGGGCGGGCUUCAGCUCCCUUUGCACCACCAGCACCUCGCCUCCUGUCAGCAUGAGGCAGUUUUCAUUUUCUGCCCAGGGGCUUCCGCAGCGCCCCAACACAAGGUUGGCAGAAGCGGGCUCAGCCGGAGGACUUGUGGAGGGAAGUUGCUUCCACUGAGCCAGCCUCAAUCUGGGGUGCACAGGCGCCACCAGGUGAAUGCUUCUGCCAGGCCGUCAUCUGACCCAUAAGGUCCCUCUGUGCACUGCUUGGAAGGUCCUGGCAGGGCUGAGCCCCAGCCACCCACGGCAGUGACCUAAUAAUGCACCGUUAUCUUGGCUCUUCUGCUCUCUCUUGUUUCCCACUCCUGUUCGUCCCUCAUUUCUGGUCCCUAGAAUGACUUCCAAAAU